rnacentral:lncRNA from 1 species
UCUGAUAAGAAAGAGCUCCUGCAGAGAUAAAUCAGAAGGUAGAGAGAGAGAGAAAGUGCCAGGCCUUCAUCUGAAAGGACAAAGAAAAGGAAUUUGGGAGCCCUCUCUAGGCCACCCCAGAGGCAGCCAGUCAGCUCCCCUAAUGGCAUCAGAUGGGUAGAGAUGGAGGCCAGCCCAGCUCAAGCUGAGAGGAUUAAAGAACCAGAGACUUUGCUGAAGCAAAUAGAAAUCAUGGGAUUUGGAAUGGUUAACUGUGAAGAGUGUGGGCUGGGCUUCAGCAAAAUGACAAAUCUGCUUAGUCACCCGAGGAUCCACUCAGGAGAGAAGCCGUAUGUGUGUGGGGUGUGUGAGAAGGCCUUGAGUGGAAAGAAGAGCCUAGCCAGACAUCAGAAGGUACACUCGGAGAAAAAAAAAAUGUGUGCCAGGAGUGUGGGCAAGGUUUUAGCCGGAAGUCAACACUCAUCAUUCAUGAGGGGACACACUCGGGUGGGCGAGAAGCCUUAGAUGUGCAGGGAGUGUGGGCGUGGCUUUAAUCAGAAGUCAAACCUCAUCAUCCAUCAAAGGACACAUUCAGGGGAGCAGCCUGACAUGUGCAGGGAGUGUCGUAAAGGUUUUAGGCAGAAAUUAGCUGUUGUUAAACACAAGAGGACACACUUAGAGGAGAAAAACCAUUGUGUGCAGUGACUGUGGCCUUGGCUUCAGUGACAGAUCAAACCUCAUCUCCCACACCAAAGAACACACACUUAGGGGAAAAGCCUUACGUUUGCAAGCAGUGUGGGCAGUGCUUCAGGCAAAGGACAACCCUUGUCAACCACCAGAGGACGCGCUCAAAGGAGAAGCCUUAUGUGUGUGGUGUAUGUGGGCACAUCUUUCGCCAGAAUUCAACUCUCAUCUCUCACAGGAGGAUGCACACGGGGGAGAAACCAUAUGUGUGUGGGGUGUGUGGACGUGGCUUUAGUUUAAAAUCCCGCCUCAGUAGACACCAGAACACUCACUCAGGGGAGAAGCCUGUUGGUGUGUAAGGACUGUGGUGGAGGGUUCAACCAGCCGUCCAAUCUCAUCAGACAAAAGAGGACACACUUUGGGGAGAAGCCCAUGGUGUGUGAGGAAUGUGGACGAGGCUUUAGCCAGAAGUCAAACUUCAUUGCACACCAGAGGACACACUCAGGACAAAAGCCAUAUGUGUGCCGAGAGUGUGGGCGAGGCUUUAGUCACGAGGCUGGGCUCAUCAGACACAAGAGGAAGCAUUCAAGGGAGAGACGGUGUAUGGGCAGGCAGUGUGGACUAGGCUUUAGUAAUGAGGCAGCUUUGAUGGCACAUAAGCAGGUGUCCUUUGAAGAGAAGCUUUGUGUGCGCAGAGUGUGGCCAAGGCUUUCUCCAGAAGUCAUGCUUCACCUUACAUCAGAUGACACCCAAGGGGGAGAAGAUUUACACAUGCAAGACCUGAGGCUUUAGGCAGACACAGAAAGAUAGAAUGUGCCCACCACAAACUGCCCCUCCAGCCUGACUCUGAAAGCCUAUUUGGAGUGAUCUUCUGACCCCUUAUACUCUCUUUGA